GCAGCCGCGGUAACACCGGCAGCUCUAGUGGUAACAAUUUUUAUUGGGCCUAAAGCGUCCGUAGCCGGUUUAAUAAGUCUCUGGUGAAAUCCUGUAGCUUAACUGUGGGAAUUGCUGGAGAUACUAUUAGACUUGAGACCGGGAGAGGUUAGAGGUACUCCCAGGGUAGAGGUGAAAUUCUGUAAUCCUGGGAGGACCGCCUGUUGCGAAGGCGUCUAACUGGAACGGUUCUGACGGUGAGGGACGAAAGUUAGGGGCGCGAACCGGAUUAGAUACCCG
rnacentral:rRNA from 1 species